GACGAACGCUGGCGGCGUGCUUAACACAUGCAAGUCGAACGGAAAGGCCCUGCUUUUGUGGGGUGCUCGAGUGGCGAACGGGUGAGUAACACGUGAGUAACCUGCCCUUGACUUUGGGAUAACUUCAGGAAACUGGGGCUAAUACCGGAUAGGAGCUCCUGCUGCAUGGUGGGGGUUGGCAAGAUUCGGCGGUUGGGGAUGGACUCGCGGCUCAUCAGCUUGUUGGUGGGGUUGUGGCUUACCAAGGCUUUGACGGGUAGCCGGUCUGAGAGGGUCACCGCCCACAUUGGGACUGGGUCUGGACCGAGACGCCCACGGGAGGCAGCAUUGGGAAAUAUAGCACACUGUGGGAAAGCCUCAGUCAGUGGCCCCGCGGGCGGGAUGCCGUCCUCCGUGUUGAAACCCGCUUUCGCUUGGUACGACGCUGGAGUGCCGGUAAUGGGUAAAGACUCGCCGUGCACUGUCG
rnacentral:rRNA from 1 species